GACGAACGCUGGCGGCGUGCUUAACACAUGCAAGUCGUACGGUAAGGCCCUUUCGGGGGUCCACGAGUGGCGAACGGGUGAGUAACACGUGCGUAACCUGCCCACAACUUUGGGAUAACGCUAGGAAACUGGGGCUAAUACUGGAUAUGUGCUCCUGCUCCCUGGUGGGGGUUGGAGAGCUCCGGCGGUUGGGGGUGGACUCGCGGCCUAUCAGCUUGUUGGUGGGGUAGUGGUCUACCAAGGCGGAGACGGGUAGCCGGCCUGGGAGGGUGACCGGCCACAGUGGGACUGGGAUACGGCCCAGACCCCGACGGGAGGGAGCAGUGGGGAAUGUUGCACAAUGGGCGCGAGCCUGAUGCAGCAACGCCGCGGGCGGGAGGACGGUCUUGGGGUUGUAAUCCGCUUUCAGCAGGGACGAAGCUUUUUGUGACGGUACCUGCAGAAGAAGCACCGGCUAACUACGUG
rnacentral:rRNA from 1 species